CUCAGUAACACGUGGAUAACCUACCCUCAGGUGGGGGAUAACCCCGGGAAACUGGGGAUAAUACCCCAUAGACCAGGGACGCUGGAAUGCCCCCUGGUCGAAAGGUCCGCCGCCUGAGGAUGGGUCUGCGGCCGAUUAGGUUGUUGUUGGGGUAACGGCCCAACAAGCCUUUGAUCGGUACGGGUUGUGAGAGCAAGAGCCCGGAUAUGGAUUCUGAGACACAAAUCCAGGCCCUACGGGGCGCAGCAGGAGCGAUAACUUUACAAUGCGAGAAAUCGUGAUAAUGGAACCGCGAGUGCCCGUAAAUUCGGGCUGUCCAUCAGCGUAGAAAACUGGUGAAGAAAGGGCCGGGCAAGACCGGUGCCAGCCGCCGCGGUAAUACCGGCGGGUCGAGUGGUGGCCACUAUUACUGGGCUUAAAGCGUCCGUAGCUGGAUUCGGAAUUCUCUUGGGAAAUCCGCCGGCUUAUUCGGCGGUCGUUCACGAGAAACUGUUAAUCUA
rnacentral:rRNA from 1 species